ensembl:lncRNA
CAACCUAUGAUUCUAUGAUCUGGAAGGGAGGAACAAACAUUGCAUAAUCUGAAAUGAGCUAUCAAUACAACGGUUAAAGUAGCUGAAACUCUCCCUAUGUAUUAACGUAAAGAAGGCAUAUCUGUUAACCUUAUUUUACUUACUGUAAACUACUGUAGUCUUGGUUCAGGCUUCUGUAAGUUGUUUUGUCUGCCAAUUAGAGUAAACGUAGGUAGUCACCCAGUCUGACCUGAUGAAAUGAUUUCUGCUGUGAUAUAAAGAGGGAAAAAAAAAGGGAAGGGGGGAAUAAAUGAACUUGCAACAAUGAAAGUAAAGGUAUUAAAAUGCCUUUAAAUUGCAAAAUGACGUAACUGUUUCAUCUCUUCUUCUUGCUAAUGUUUUAUUUUAAUGUAAUGGUGGAGUUUCAGAUAGAUUUAGCCCAGAUUUUAAAGUUAGGUUUUAAAGUUAGGGUGGAUUUGGGGGUUUUUUUUGAGGUACAUUAGAAACAAUUCACAGAGCAUAGUCCCUCAUGCGUAGUAUUUGGAACUUUUUGUUUGUUUAAUGAGAUGUGACUAAAAUGAAAGAAGUACCCAAAGAUAAAUGGUAAUUGGUAUGAUUACAUUUUAUUUUAAAUUAGUCUUUUAAAUAUUAACAUGUAUAACUGCCAUAUCCCCUGGAAACAGAACUUGAAUAGUCAAGAGAAAAAAUGUACUAGCUAUGGUUUGCGAAUGCUUUCAGAGCUACACUACUUAAAUUGUUCAAGUAUUAUUCUGCAUGUUAGCGCCAACUCAUUGCUUGGGGAAAAUAUAAUUUGUGUGCUGUCUUUAAAUGUGUUUAAGUUGCCCAAAGAUUACUUGAGAAAAAUUUCCAUUUAGUAAAUUAUCAUGUAAUAAAUGUCUGUGGCAAUGCUGAAUGUUGUUUCUAAAUCAGACCACGAGGAUUUCAGUACUGAUAUGCUUGUUCAUAGAAGACUUUGCAGAAAUGAAGGCUAUCUGCUGAAGAGCAGAGCAUUUCAAAUAUUAUUUGUAAUUGCAAAGAGGAGAAGAGCAUCUUUCAAUUGAAAUGCCCUAUGGUAUCUGCUUCUCAUUUGUAUGUGUAAUCACUUCUGCAGAAUCACAAGGUAAAGUUCCAGCUAGAAGAGAGUAAUGUAAAGGCUAUCAGACCCACAUAAUUCUGAGGCAAUUAAAGUGCUUGUUCCAUAAAAGUUGAAUGCCUGUAGAUACAAUUUCAAGUAGUGAAACACAUUACUGCAGCUGUGCAGCUCUUCGGAUGUUGAGGUUAAGCAUAUAGCAUCAGAUUAUGUUCACCUCAGUAGUUCAAACACUGGUGUGACUAUUUCAUGUUUUUUUCCUCUUUAUUUUAAAUUUUGGGUGGUUCCAUUUGCUGAUGUGUGUUGCUGGCUUCUCUGUCAUCAUCACGGGGAUGGGAAGAGUUUUCCUGCAGCUCUGGAAGGAAAGAUCAGAGCACUCAUGGACAGCCUGGGAGGGCAGAGCUCAGCACUGGUCACACUCAGCCUUGGUGUGCUCUGAUGCCACAUUCUCCAGCUUGCUUUCAUGCUGUGAGCUGUGAUGGAGAUCAUAUACCAUGGAGAUGCUCAGGUGAUGGUCACUGUGUUGGUGAGCAGUUGCACAGUCCCCAUUAGCAAAGCUGUUUCUGUGCUGUGUGGAGUUGCUGGUGUGGUGAUGGUGUCUCCUAGUUGCAAACUGCAGCCAGCUGGGGAGCCACUGGGUUCAGUUACCCACAGAAAGCAAGGCAGUGAGUAGUUUUGGUUUUGUUGUUCCCAGUGUCAUCUGUAUCUGUCAAGAAUGUUUCUUUUAGUGCUCUCAGCUGACAAGUUGUUGGCUACCCUGUGCUUCAGGCUGGCCCCAGCUUUGUCUCAUUCUUCCUGUGAAUGACUUCCAGUUACUCUUGUUUUCUCCCACAUUGCCGUAACACUUUUAGUGUUACUCAUCUCCAGUUUGUCGUUUGGUUUUAAGCAGUCUGGGGAGCAUCAAUCUCACUGCAUCCAUAUAGCCACAGGAGAACUUAAAAUAUGUUUUUCCUUUUUAUCCUCGCUCUGUUUUUCCUUUUGUCCCCUUCCAGGAUACUCCUCCAAAGUAGCAACCCCAGGACAUCACAG